CAAACUGUUACCCAAUACAGGUUUAGUAACAAAAACCGGGUCUAAUGGUAACGAGAGCCCG
rnacentral:sRNA from 1 species